rnacentral:rRNA from 1 species
GACGUAGGGCGCGAGCGUUGUCCGGAUUUAUUGGGCGUAAAGAGCUCGUAGGCGGCUUGUCGCGUCGACUGUGAAAUCCCGCGGCUCAACUGCGGGUCUGCAGUCGAUACGGGCAGGCUAGAGUUCGGUAGGGGAGACUGGAAUUCCUGGUGUAGCGGUGAAAUGCGCAGAUAUCAGGAGGAACACCGAUGGCGAAGGCAGGUCUCUGGGCCGAUACUGACGCUGAGGAGCGAAAGCGUGGGGA